GGGAAGGGAUUGCGGUUCAAUAAAAGCGACACGUUCGCCCGAUGCCACAUCAGACAACACCGAGAAGCAAACCGACAGUGUCUCGUAGUUUCGUUCAGAUACAAGAGACAAGCAAGAAGAAACACAGCAGAAAUGCCGGGUCCCAACGACAAGUGCAAAGGUGACUGCCAGGGAUCAUGCAAGUGUGGAUCAGACUGCAAAUGCUGCGAUGCACCAGGAGAUAAAUGCGGCUGCAAGUCCGGCAGCGACUGCAAAUGUCAGGACUGCAAAUGCACAUGAGAAGUGAAGAAAAAACAAGAUGUCGAGGACGAAUGCCGGUGGGAUUGAGAAAAUGGAUUUGAACAUACUUGCGCUAACCCAACGCAACGUAACAUAGUCUUAAUAUGUACGUCGAGAUCGUCUUCAUAUUUUUAAUUCGUGCUAGUAUUUCUGUUCAAAAAACUUAUUCCAAAUAAUACACUUAAUUUUA